rnacentral:rRNA from 1 species
AGUGAACGCUGGCGGUAGGCCUAACACAUGCAAGUCGAACGGCAGCACAGUAAGAGCUUGCUCUUACGGGUGGCGAGUGGCGGACGGGUGAGGAAUACAUCGGAAUCUACUUUUUCGUGGGGGAUAACGUAGGGAAACUUACGCUAAUACCGCAUACGACCUACGGGUGAAAGCAGGGGAUCUUCGGACCUUGCGCGAUUGAAUGAGCCGAUGUCGGAUUAGCUAGUUGGCGGGGUAAAGGCCCACCAAGGCGACGACCCGUAGCUGGUCGGAGAGGAUGAUCAGCCACACUGGAACUGAGACACGGUCCAGACUCCUACGGGAGGCAGCAGUGGGGAAUAUUGGACAAUGGGCGCAAGCCUGAUCCAGCCAUACCGCGUGGGUGAAGAAGGCCUUCGGGUUGUAAAGCCCUUUUGUUGGGAAAGAAAAGCAGCAGGUUAAUACCCCGCUGUUCUGACGGUACCCAAAGAAUAAGCACCGGCUAACUUCGUG